rnacentral:rRNA from 1 species
CCUGGCUCCAUUCCGAACCCAGCAGUGAAACAUACCAGCGCCGAUGGUAGUGUGGGGCUUCCCCAUGUGAGAGUAGGACACCGCCAGAC